GACGAACGCUGGCGGCGUGCCUAAUACAUGCAAGUCGUGCGGACCUUGUUGAAAGCUUGCUUUUAAAAGGUUAGCGGCGGACGGGUGAGUAACACGUGGGCAACCUGCCUGUAAGACUGGGAUAACGCCGGGAAACCGGGGCUAAUACCAGAUCGUUUUUUCCUCCGCAUGGAGGAAAAAGGAAAGGCGGCUUCGGCUGCCACUUACAGAUGGGCCCGCGGCGCAUUAGCUAGUUGGCGGGGUAAUGGCCCACCAAGGCAACGAUGCGUAGCCGACCUGAGAGGGUGAUCGGCCACAUUGGGACUGAGACACGGCCCAAACUCCUACGGGAGGCAGCAGUAGGGAAUCUUCCGCAAUAGACGAAAGUCUGACGGAGCAACGCCGCGUGAGUGAAGAAGGCCUUCGGGUCGUAAAACUCUGUUGCCGGGGAAGAACAAGUGCCGUUCGAACAGGGCGGCGCCUUGACGGUACCCGGCCAGAAAGCCACGGCUAACUACGUG
rnacentral:rRNA from 1 species